UACGAAGGGGGGCUAGCGUUGUUCGGAAUUACUGGGCGUAAAGCGCACGUAGGCGGAUUGUUAAGUUAGGGGUGAAAUCCCGGGGCUCAACCCCGGAACUGCCUUUAAUACUGGCAAUCUCGAGUCCGAGAGAGGUGAGUGGAAUUCCGAGUGUAGAGGUGAAAUUCGUAGAUAUUCGGAGGAACACCAGUGGCGAAGGCGGCUCACUGGCUCGGUACUGACGCUGGAGGUGCGAAAGCGUGGGGAGCAAACAGG
rnacentral:rRNA from 1 species